rnacentral:rRNA from 1 species
AUUGAACGCUGGCGGCAGGCCUAACACAUGCAAGUCGAGCGGAUGAAGGGAGCUUGCUCCUGGAUUCAGCGGCGGACGGGUGAGUAAUGCCUAGGAAUCUGCCUGGUAGUGGGGGAUAACGUCCGGAAACGGGCGCUAAUACCGCAUACGUCCUGAGGGAGAAAGUGGGGGAUCUUCGGACCUCACGCUAUCAGAUGAGCCUAGGUCGGAUUAGCUAGUUGGUGGGGUAAAGGCCUACCAAGGCGACGAUCCGUAACUGGUCUGAGAGGAUGAUCAGUCACCGGGGAGAGGAGACGCGCACCAGCCCCCUCGGGGAGCCGCAAGGGGGGAAUUUUGACCAAGGGGCAAAGACUGUACCCCCCCUUGCGGCGGGUGAAAGAAGGGUUUGUGAAUUUAAAGCCAUUUUAAGUUGGGAGAAAGGGCAGUAAGUUAUUACCUUCGUGUCUGCAGUUGCCAAAAAAAAAAGACACCGGAAACCUUGGUC